UCCUUCGUGUUCGAGCGUGAUCCGGAAUUAUUGGGCGUAAAGAGCUCGUAGGCGUUUUGUCACGUCUGUCGUGAAAGUCCGGGGCUUAACCCCGGAUCUGCGGUGGGUACGGGCAGACUAGAGUGCAGUAGGGGAGACUGGAAUUCCUGGUGUAGCGGUGGAAUGCGCAGAUAUCAGGAGGAACACCGAUGGCGAAGGCAGGUCUCUGGGCUGUAACUGACGCUGAGGAGCGAAAGCAUGGGGAGCGAACAGGAUUAGAUACC
rnacentral:rRNA from 1 species